rnacentral:misc_RNA from 1 species
GAAAUACGAUAAGUAGUGUAAAUUAUAGAAUUUAGUAAAUUAUUAAAUCUUUAAACGCACAUUGCGUCCCUUAGUAUUCUAUAGGGUAUACCUAUUCGAGCGUUAUCUACACCCUUAAGCUCUACUUAGUGUUGGGCGUCUAUCCCGCCUUCGCGCGUAGACUCGCCCUAAAUACAUUAGUAGUGGUCCUUACCCCCUCCCAUAUAGUAUAUUACACUUCUCGAGGCUACAGCAGCCCACGUCUAAUAAGCUAAACCCCCCCAUCUUUAACCUUAAAUCAGGUAGUGAUACCCGCUGAACUUAAGC